rnacentral:rRNA from 1 species
UACGUAGGGGGCAAGCGUUGUCCGGAAUCAUUGGGCGUAAAGCGCGUGUAGGCGGCUCGGUAAGUCCGCUCUGAAAGCCCGGGGGCUCAACCCCGGGAGGCGGGUGGAUACUGCUGAGCUCGAGUCCGGAAGAGGAGUGUGGAAUUCCUGGUGUAGCGGUGAAAUGCGCAGAUAUCAGGAGGAACACCAAUGGCGAAGGCGCAA